CCCGUUUUAUAAAUGUUUUUAUAUAAUUUACAUGGUGACAGCAUGGUAUCCCAGGAAUACCGAACAUUCCAAAGCACAAAAAAACUGCACCCGCCCUAUGGGCGGUAAACCAUUGAAUCUGAUUCAUUUGAUUCAUUGCAAUUCAAUCUUUGAGGACUGCAAUCAUAGAAAUACUAUGUAUUUAUGCCUAUUAAUAAGCCAUUGUCAACAUCUCGUCUAUGGUCAUUUUGCUCGCUGCUCACUGUCACCCUAUGUUUACAUAUUACUCAUCCACCAGCUGGCUCCAUUUUAACCUGGCAGAUUACACCCAACAGCUUUACAAUAUUAUGUUUUACCCUGGCAGUCAAUGAUGAUGAUGAUAAGGUAAGCUACAUUAAAACUUUAAUGGUCUAAGUUAUAUUGGUAUUGAACUGUGCAGGUUUGAUAGGAGUUCCACCCUCUUCAUCACAUGAACCACCAACAGGGAAAAGCAGUGUUUUCUCUUUCCGUGUUUUCUGUGCCUAACUAAAAGGCUUUAUAAAAAUGGAAAUUAAAAACAAAAAACGUUUAUUUAAAAACUGAUAAGAUAUUAAACGUUUUUGAAAACGAACAGCACCUAAUUACUUUAGGCACAUUGACAUAGUGUGCCAAACUGACACAUUGACAAUGCCCACAGCCUAAUCUCUUGUGGACAGACUAUAUAACAUAAAUGGUGUAAUUUACAUUGGGUUGCCAAGAUUACCCACAAGAUUACCCACAAGAUUACCCACAAACAAACAACAUAAAUAUGAGUGAGCAUCACGAAUGAAUAGUAAUAUAAUUACUAUUGUGAUGCAUAAUGUCACCGUAUCUUUGGAGACGUUUACUGCUUUGGAGCAGGGGCCGCUUCAGCUUGUGCAGGGACCUCUUCGGCUUUUACAGGGGCUGCUUCAGCUUUUACAGAUGCAGGUUCACCUUGUACAGCGGCCUCUUCAGCUUUUACAGGGGCUGCUUCAGCUUUUACAGGGGCUGCUUCAGCUUUUACAGGGGCCGCUUCAGCUUUUACAGGGGCCGCUUCAGCUUGUACAGGGGCCGCUUCAGCUUUUACAGGGGCCGCUUCAGCUUGUACAGGGGCCGCUUCAGCUUUUACAGGGGCCGCUUCAGCUUGUACAGGGGCCGCUUCAGGUUUUGCUGCUCCUUCUUUGGGUGGACAUAAUUUCCUGGAGAAAACAAGAGGUUUUAUUAUCAUCAUGAACUUUGUUUGAUGUUUCACCAGUACUGUGAGUAGACUUGUACAGUUCUAUUUUUGACUGGAACGAAUUGCGAAAACCGCUGAAGUUGGAGACUUAUAUUUCCCUCACUAACUUUAAACAUCAGCUAUCUGAGCAGCUAACCGAUCGC
rnacentral:lncRNA from 1 species